UGCAUAGGGUGGAGAGCAAACAUUAC
rnacentral:piRNA from 1 species